CAGAGGCUGUGUAGUGCGACAGAUUUAUUAUCCCUGGGGCCAUACUUUUUCUUCUCGGGAACUGUCUCUGUCAGGGUCGUGGCCUUGAUAUAUGGUGCCCACCUGUUUUAACAGGCCACAGAGGAAAUCACAUCAUCGGCUAUAUGGCUUCACC
rnacentral:other from 1 species